UACGUAGGGGGCAAGCGUUGUCCGGAUUUAUUGGGCGUAAAGAGCUUGUAGGCGGUUUGUCGCGUCUGCUGUGAAAUUUCGGGGCUCAACCCCGAACUUGCAGUGGGUACGGGCAGACUAGAGUGUGGUAGGGGAGACUGGAAUUCCUGGUGUAGCGGUGAAAUGCGCAGAUAUCAGGAAGAACACCCGUGGCUAAGGCGGCUCUCUAGUACGGUACUGACGCUGAGACGCGAAAGCGUGGGGAGCGAACAGG
rnacentral:rRNA from 1 species